rnacentral:tRNA from 1 species
AAAGGUUUAAGUUAAAAAAACUAUCAAUUUUCAAAAUUGGGUAUAGCUAUGCUAAUCUUUG